rnacentral:rRNA from 1 species
UGGGGAAUUUUGCACAAUGGGGGAAACCCUGCUGCAGCGACGCCGCGUGAUUUAUAAGGCCUUUGGGUUGUAAAAAUCUUUUCUAUGGGAAGAAAAUGACAGUACCAUAGGAAUAAGGACCGGCUAAUUACGUGCCAGCAGCCGCGGUCAUACGUAAGGUCCGAGCGUUGUCUGGAAUCAUUGGGCGUAAAGGGUACGUAGGCGGGUAAGCAAGUCAGAAGUGAAAUCCUGUAGAUCAACUACAGUAAGCUUUUAAAACUGCUCAUCUUGAGAUAUGAGAGGGAAAGUGGAAUUCCGGGUGUAGCGGUGAAAUGCGAAGAUAUGAGGAGGAAUGCCGGUGGCGAAGGCGACUUUCUGGCCAUAAUCUGACGCUGAGGUACGAAGGCGUGGGUAGCAAACAGG